AAUAUCUGGACUCUUUUUUUUUUUUUUUUUAAAGCUUACAUAAACACACAUGUAUUUUAAAAAUUAUAAAUAAAAAGAGCUUGCAGAUUGGUGGUGAAUUUAAAUAUGCCUUGUAUUAGUCAUGUCAGAAUAUCACAGAUACCAGCCUGUCAUAAGCUGUUCACAUCUACCUAAACAGAUAGCACCCGUUUUCGAUCGCGCCCUAUUAGUUUUUAAUGUACAACAAGAUGUCAGACCUCCUGACAGACUCAGAGCCCCGUUUGGGUCCUCUGAAUGGGACAACGUUUAGGGAAGUGGCUGCGCGCUGUUGUACAUCGGAGGUGGAAAACCGAAACUACGGCAGAAAUACACGGAGCUCAAAAGCGUCACAUCGUCACAAAUGUAAUUAAUAUUAAGAACUUCCUUUCAGAAACAUCAUCAUAUUGCUACGGCUGGCCAGCAUAAAAAACACGGACGGUCUUACCGCAGCUGCCACAUAAGGUGGAGACUCACCUGGUCUUUGAGUUGAAAACCUUGAUUAUGUCAUCAUAAUCCGAACUAUCAAUAAGAAGUUUAAUAUCUAAUUGGGAGUCUAAAUGGCCAAAUGACCAGUUAAAUAACAGCAGUAAGUGGCGCUUUCCCCCCGUCGUCCCGGUUGUCUGUUUGGAAGCCUGUGGCGGACGGUGAAGUGCAUGUUUAAGUUAAGCAGAUGUGCCCGCUUUCCCACAUUCCCAGAGCCACUGAACGUCUCACGACCGUCUUUCAGCUACAGAUUGAGUUUCCUCAGGCAUGGCCUGAUUUUGCUAAUUGAGGUGCACAUGGCCGAAGAACAUGUCAAAAAGGAGAACAAGACUUAGUCCUGAGGCUGAGGCUAUUCAGUUUAUUUCAUCUGGAGGUGACAAACCUUGUUUUAAGGUCAAGUGGAUCAGUGACUUUAAAGGACGUGGUGUAUUUACCUGCACACCAAUUGAAAAGGGAUCGUUUGUUGUCAAGUACCGUGGAGAGUUAAUAUCACAAUAUGAACCGAACAAGAGGCAGAAGAACAUAGAUGCGUCCCACGAAGAUGGCUCCAUGGGAAGGCUGGUGAAUGAUGGCCACAAGUCACCAAACUGUAAAAUGCGAAAGUUGACAGUCCAGGGUAAACCUCAUCUUUGCUUAUUUGCAAUUGAAAACAGAGACUGAAAUAACAUAUGAUCAUGGAUAUUCUCAAUGGCCAUGGCGUAAUCUGCAGACACUAAGUGGCAUGAUCCAGACUGAACCUUCAGGAGACCCAGAAGUGAGCGAGAGAUCCAGUUCAUCCUUCCAACAGUUGGACCUCCCGCAGUCUAUGAUGUUGGAUUUCAUGAUGGAAACUCAAGUUAAAAUGCCCAGAUCUCUAAUGACAUUACUGAUGAAUUUUCGGAUGCUACGGACUAUGAUGAUGCCAACUAUGUUCCAGAUUCAAGUGGGACCUCCUCUGACACAAGUUCUCAUAGUAGAGUUCUAUGUUCUAAUCGGUGUCACCUGAGAUAUCAAGUGAAAAUGUUUGUAAUGGGUUUCGUUUUGAUAUUCUCUUUAUUUUCAUUGAAGGAUUGCUAUUGAUGUUUUCUUGUACAAGCAUGCCACAUAGUUUUGACUGAAUCUGCCAUGUUGAAAUUUAUUCAUGAGGACUAUUUAUGAUCAUAUGUAGUUUUUUUUGUCCCCACCAUUCAGACACUAUCAUAUUUUUCUUACAACUUCAGGAUCAUAUCAUAAAGCAUUGUUUCAAGUAA